rnacentral:rRNA from 1 species
GACGAACGCUGGCGGCGUGCCUAAUACAUGCAAGUCGAGCGAAGUUUUUCUGGUGCUUGCACUAGAAAAACUUAGCGGCGAACGGGUGAGUAACACGUAAAGAACCUGCCUCAUAGACUGGGACAACUAUUGGAAACGAUAGCUAAUACCGGAUAACAGUAUCUCUCGCAUGAGAGAUAUUUAAAAGUUGGUUAUGCUAACACUAUGAGAUGGCUUUGCGGUGCAUUAGCUAGUUGGUGGGGUAAAGGCCCACCAAGGCGACGAUGCAUAGCCGACCUGAGAGGGUGAUCGGCCACACUGGGACUGAGACACGGCCCAGACUCCUACGGGAGGCAGCAGUAGGGAAUCUUCCGCAAUGGGCGAAAGCCUGACGGAGCAACGCCGCGUGAGUGAAGAAGGAUUUCGGUUCGUAAAGCUCUGUUGUUAGGGAAGAAUGGAUAUGUAGUAACUAUACAUGUAAGAGACGGUACCUAACCAGAAAGCCACGGCUAACUACGUG